CAUGCAUGCUCUCAUAGGCACAUACACUCACCCGCACACACACACACACACCUGCUUCAGCGAUAGUUGGUAUAUCAGAGCCCUUUUGUAGAUGUAUCGAAACAGGACUAAAUGAGAAGAAAGCGUCUGACCUAUUUGCAAGGUAAAUGUAGCCUAGUUAUAGGGAACCAUGAAAACCAGCUCUGCCACCGACACAGAUGAAAGACUCUAUUGUUCCUCCUCUAGAUGAAGAGACAUUUUUUCAUUUUUUUCAUUGUGAAACCCUUGUUCCAUGAGCCUUUUAUUUUAACAAAAGACAAACAGUGUCUGAUUCUUAUUCAGGUCUGUCUCUCACUCUGCGGUGCUGGGUAAAAACCCUGUCACUUGCUGAAUAUGUGACGGGCUUUGAAGUAAUCAGUGUCGAGGCUGGUAGCGUUGAACAAGGAGACUGUGGGAGUGGUCAGCUUUCUGGUGAUCUACCCCCUCUACCUGCCACUCUUUAUUCUCUUCCGGAUGAGCCAUAGCAAGUGUGACAGUAGAGCAGGUGUCCUCCCAGGUGGAUUAAGAGUCAGGGGAGAUCGAUUACUUCCUGGAUAAAUCCAUGGCAGGAAGCUCCUUCCUCAUCUACAAAGGGAUUCCUGGAGAGGUUUAAGCAGAGUUCAUGCAGAUAACUAACUUGCCUCUGCAAACAAAGCUCAUGGCACAACGGGACCAGUAUUCGGAUAACCUGAGGAAGGCAGUCCGCACCAAAGGAGGAGUUGCAUGAAUGAAGAUCGGCAACAUUACGGCAGCCACAGCUGAGAACUGCGACAUGGCUGAGUCUGAGAAGGAGAUAGCGUAGACUGUCAUGGGGAUUUACGUCAUCCGAGGAAGAUCCAGAUGACGUCAGAAUUGUGAUUGAGGGUGUGAGGUUCUCAUCGACCUGGGAAGCGGAGCCUUAGGAUGUGCCAUGUUGUUUGGUUGAUCUAUGCACUCAACCUGAGCUACACACAGCACCUCAAAUGCACUUUGAUGUGUUCCAGAAGAUUCUAAUUAACUUGGAUGGAAACAAGCUUUCACCAAACAUCCAACCACUCAAGACCAACAUUUUUCAGUGAUCAACUAAAAGGAGAAAGUGACAGUUUGCAGUCAACUGACAGAGUUUGCCCUUGUCUUUAGGGCAAAUGUCUGAACAGAGAUGUUUAUUUAACCAUUAUUUCACUCUUUUAUGGCAGCUUUGGAGCAGUGGCUUCUUCCUUGCUGAGCAGCCUUUCAGGUUAGGUCGACAUAGGACUUGUUUUACUGUGGAUAUAGAUACUUUUGUACCUGUUUCCUCCAGCAUCUUUUUUUACCUUUAUUUAACUAGGCAAGUCAGUUAAGAACAAAUUGUUAUUUUCAAUGAUGGCCUAGGAACAGUGGGUUAACUGCCUUGUUCAGUGGCAGAACGACAGAUUUGUACCUUGUCAGCUCGGUGAUUCGAUCUUGCCACCUUUCAACUACUAGUCAAACGCUUGAACCACUAGGCUAUGCUGCCACCCCAAGGUCCUUCGCUGUUGUUCUGGGAUUGAUUUCCACUUUUCACACCAAAGUGCCUUCAUCUCUAGGAGACAGAACAUGUCUCCUUCCUGAGCGGUAUGACGGCUGCGUGGUCCCAUGGUGUUUAUACUUGCAUACUAUUGUUUGUACAGAUGAACGUGGUACCUUCAGGCGUUUAGAAAUUCCUCCCAAGGAUGAACCAGACUUGUGGAGGUCUACAAUUAUUUUUCUGAGGUCUUGGCUGAUUUCUUUUGAUUUUCCCAUGAUGUCAAGCAAAGAGGCACUGAGUUUGAAGGUAGGCCUUGAAAUACAUCCACAGGUUCACCUCCAAUUGACUCAAAUUAUAUCAAUUAGCCUAUCAGAAGCUUCUAAAGCCAUGACAUUGUUUUCUGGAAUUUUCCAAGCUGUUUAGAGGCACAGUCAACUUAGUGUAUGUAAACUUCUGACCCAUUGGAAUUGUGAUACAUUGAAUUAUAAGUGAAAUAAUCUGUCUGUAAACAAUUGUUGGAAAAAUGACUUGUGUCAUGCACAUAGUAGAUGUCCUAACCGACUUGCCAAAACUAUAAUUUGUUAACAAGAAAAUUGUGGAGUGGGUGAAAAAAUGAGUUUUAAUGACUCCAACCUAAGUGUAUGUAAACUUCCGACUUCAACUGUAGGUAAGGAUAAAGUGACUAGAUAGUGGGAUAGAUAAUAAACAGUAACAGCAGCGUAUGUUAAGAGUCAAAAGAGAUUAGUGCAAAAAGGGUCAAUGCAGAUGUUUCGGGUAGCUAUUGGUUAACUAUUUAACUUACUAUUUAGCAGUCAUAGCUUGGGGGUAGAAGCUGUUCAGGGACCUGUUGAUUGCAGACUUGGUGCAUCGGUACAGCUAGCCGUGCGGUAGCAGAGGGAACAGCCUAUGACAUUGGUGGCUGGAGAAUUAGACAAUCUUUAGGGCCUUCCUCUGACACCGCCUGGAAUAGUCUUGGAUGGCAGGGAGCUCGGCCAUAAUUAUUUUAUGUUCAUUACAGCUCAUUCAGAAGAACCAGUUGAUAUUCUAUUUAGAUUUUGUUGUUUUACAAUUUCAGAACACCAUUGUGUCUUGGCACAGUGCAAUCUUCAAGUUUGUUAUUUGGUUUACUUGAUAUACUUUCUGUCUUAAAGGUUGGUAAUUGAGAAAAAACACUGUCUUUUAAACAUUGCACAGCUUUGUUCACUUGUAAAGUAUUUCAUGUACAGUGGCUUGCGAAAGUAUUCACCCCCUUGGCAUUUUUCCUAUUUUGUUGCCUUACAAC
rnacentral:lncRNA from 1 species